GACGAACGCUGGCGGCGUGCUUAACACAUGCAAGUCGAACGGAAAGGCCCUGCUUUUGUGGGGUGCUCGAGUGGCGAACGGGUGAGUAACACGUGAGUAACCUGCCCUUGACUUUGGGAUAACUUCAGGAAACUGGGGCUAAUACCGGAUAGGAGCUCCUGCUGCAUGGUGGGGGUUGGAAAGUUUCGGCGGUUGGGGAUGGACUCGCGGCUUAUCAGCUUGUUGGUGGGGUAGUGGCUUACCAAGGCUUUGACGGGUAGCCGGCCUGGGAGGGUGACCGGCGACAUUGGGACUGAGAUACGGCCCAGACUCCUACGGGAGGCAGCAGUGGGGAAUAUUGCACAAUGGGCGGAAGCGUGAUGCAGCAACGCCGCGUGCGGGAUGACGGCCUUCGGGUUGUAAACCGCUUUCGCCUGUGACGAAGCGUGAGUGACGGUAAUGGGUAAAGAAGCACCGGCUAACUACGUG
rnacentral:rRNA from 1 species